rnacentral:rRNA from 1 species
AUGCGUUGGGAAGGGAUGGCGCUCUCGCGUCCGCGCAAGUUGCGGCUGGGCGGGCGCCGCCGUCACCCGGAUCUCCGGCCUCCGUCCUCCGUUGCGGCCGCCGUAACCGGAUCCGGGUACCCCGCGAAGAUCUCUCCCACGCCAGUCUCGGCGGCGCCCCGUCUCUCGGUUCGCCCGGCAAUGCUGCUCGCCCGAGCCUCCGCGGCGGCCACCACUCCGUCGGCGUCUCCGGCUGUUGCACCCGUCAUCCUUGCGCCGUCUGCGUCGUGCGCUCAGGCUGCAGGCACUACCCCGGUCGCCGGUGUUCUCCCUCGACCGCGGCCGCUGCCCCCAGCUUCCAGGUUCAGGAGGGAGGACGGGGGUCUUAAGGCUGCGUGCACGCCCUGUUCGGAGCCUGUGUCGACAACUGCUUCGGCCCCGAGGCCUGGCUCCCCUGUCCUUGCCGAUGCCGCCUCUGUCAAUGGGGACGACGUAGGCUGUGAAGAGGAAAUGGCCGUGACGCUGCCUCCACGGGCGGUGUUGUGGGCCUCCGCUGCUGACGACGAUGAAGAUGAAGAUGAUGAAGAGGAGUUGCCUCCCCAGACACCGCAGGCUGCCACCAAGGCCCUCGAUUCUGGAGGGAUGUGCGUGGGGCAUGACGCAGACACAAAUGAGGGUUGGCAGGAGGUGCUACCACAGCGCGGGCCGCGCCCGACUUCAUCGCCUUCCUCGACAAUGGCUCCUCGUCCCAUCCCUGCUUGGCUUCGCGGUAGAUGUUAUAGAUGCUUCGCUCAUGGUCAUCACGCGGUUGUUUGCACAGAGCCGUUGCGGUGCUCCCGUUGUUUGGAGAACGGUCAUCGUGCGCGUGGAUGUUGCAACCCAUGGCGUCCUCUAAGCUCACUGCCAUGCAAUGAUGUGUCGCUCGUGUCGCAGCUCGACAUCGUGCAUCGUCCUGCUCUUGCUUCAUGUGAGGGUCCGAUGAGAUCCGCACUCCCAUCCAAGGCGCUUCAUCGUGGGUCUUGGGCGUCUGUCGUCUCUAGUAUCGUUGGCUCACCAACCUCGUCGGAGCUGAUGUUGCAGUCCGCUUUGGCUGAUCAGACUGCGUUGCUGCAAGGUUGUCUGGCGCGUGUUGGGAGCUUUUUAGAGCGAGCGGAGGCUGCUCUGAGUAGACUCUCGCUUGCACCAGCUAUGUUGCAGACCUCUCUGACGCCGCACUCUCCUUGUGCGGCCGGUGUUUGCUCCGCGGAGGAGAAGGGGGCGGAGUUAUAUGGCUCCUUCUCCCCUCGUGUUGGAGACAAUUCAUCCUCGAUGCCUACCUCCCAUCCUAUGUUGUCUUCCACUAAGGGCGAGUCCAUCGCUUGUGACUCCGGUACUGCAGGUCAUGCCCGAGCUUAG